GCAAGUCGAGGGGCAGCACGGUGUAGCAAUACACGGGUGGCGACCGGCGCACGGGUGAGUAACGCGUAUGCAACCUGCCUACUACAAGGGGAUAACCCGUUGAAAGACGGACUAAUACCCUAUAACACAGGGAAUCCGCAUGGAUAUAUUUGUUAAAGAUUAAUCGGUAGUAGAUGGGCAUGCGUUCCAUUAGCUUGUUGGUGAGGUAACGGCUCACCAAGGCAACGAUGGAUAGGGGAACUGAGAGGUUGAUCCCCCACACUGGAACUGUGACACGGUCCAGACUCCUACGGGAGGCAGCAGUGAGGAAUAUUGGUCAAUGGACGAGAGUCUGAACCAGCCAAGUCGCGUGAAGGAAGACGGCCCUACGGGUUGUAAACUUCUUUUGUAAGGGAAUAAAGAGUCUUACGAGCUAAGACGUUGCAGGUACCUUACGAAUAAGGAUCGGCUAACUCCGUGCCAGCAGCCGCGGUAAUACGGAGGAUCCGAGCGUUAUCCGGAUUUACUGGGUUUAAAGGGUGCGCAGGCGGCAUGUUAGGUCGGCGGUGAAAUUUUGCAGCUCAACUGUAAAAGAGCCUUCGAAACUGGCAAGCUUGAGUGUGGAUGAAGUAGGCGGAAUUUGUGGUGUAGCGGUGAAAUGCAUAGAUAUCACAAAGAACACCGAUUGCGCAGGCAGCUUACUAAACCAUAACUGACGCUCAUGCACGAAGGCGUGGGGAUCAAACAGGAUUAGAUACCCUGGUAGUCCACGCAGUAAACGAUGAUUACUGGCUGUUUGCGAUACAAUGUAAGCGGCUGAGCGAAAGCGUUAAGUAAUCCACCUGGGGAGUACGUUCGCAAGAAUGCAACUCAAAGGAAUUGACGGAA
rnacentral:rRNA from 1 species